rnacentral:rRNA from 1 species
UACAGAGGGGGCAAGCGUUGUUCGGAAUUACUGGGCGUAAAGGGCGCGUAGGCGGCCGCCUAAGUCAGACGUGAAAUCCCUCGGCUCAACCGGGGAACUGCGUCUGAUACUGGGUGGCUUGAAUCCGGGAGAGGGAUGCGGAAUUCCAGGUGUAGCGGUGAAAUGCGUAGAUAUCUGGAGGAACACCGGUGGCGAAGGCGGCAUCCUGGACCGGCAUUGACGCUGAGGCGCGAAAGCCAGGGGGGCAAACGGG